CCUACGGGAGGCAGCGGUGGGGAAUAUUGGACAAUGGGGGCAACCCUGAUCCAGCCAUGCCGCGUGUGUGAAGAAGGCCCUCGGGUUGUAAAGCACUUUCAGUGAGGAAGAACGCCUGGUGGUUAAUACCCAUCAGGAAAGACAUCACUCACAGAAGAAGCACCGGCUAACUCCGUGCCAGCAGCCGCGGUAAUACGGAGGGUGCGAGCGUUAAUCGGAAUUACUGGGCGUAAAGCGCGCGUAGGUGGCUUGAUAAGCCGGUUGUGAAAGCCCCGGGCUCAACCUGGGAACGGCAUCCGGAACUGUCAAGCUAGAGUGCAGGAGAGGAAGGUAGAAUUCCCGGUGUAGCGGUGAAAUGCGUAGAGAUCGGGAGGAAUACCAGUGGCGAAGGCGGCCUUCUGGACUGACACUGACACUGAGGUGCGAAAGCGUGGGUAGCAAACAGGAUUAGAUACCCCAGUAGUC
rnacentral:rRNA from 1 species